rnacentral:rRNA from 1 species
GUAGGGACCAAGCGUUGUUCGGAUUUACUGGGCGUAAAGGGCGCGUAGGCGGCGCGGUAAGUCACUUGUCAUAUCUCUGAGCUUAACUCAGAACGGCCAAGUGAUAUUGCAGUGCUAGAGAGUGGAAGGGGCAAUCGGAAUUCUUGGUGUAGCGGUGAAAUGCGUAGAUAUCAAGAGGAACACCUGAGGUGAAGACGGGUUGCUGGGCCAACACUGACGCUGAGGCGCGAAAGCCAGGGGAGCAAACGGGAUUAGAUACCCCGGUAGUCCUGGCCCUAAACGAUGAAUACUUGGUGUCUGGAGUUUUAAUGCUCCGGGUGCCGUCGCUAACGUUUUUAGUAUUCCGCCUGGGGAGUACGCUCGCAAGACUG